CACGUAGGGUGCGAGCGUUGUCCGGAAUUAUUGGGCGUAAAGAGCUCGUAGGCGGCUUGUUGCGUCGACCGUGAAAACCCGGGGCUCAACUUCGGGCUUGCGGUCGAUACGGGCGGGCUAGAGUUCGGUAGGGGAGACUGGAAUUCCUGGUGUAGCGGUGAAAUGCGCAGAUAUCAGGAGGAACACCGGUGGCGAAGGCGGCUCUCUGGGACGGUACUGACGCUGAGACGCGAAAGCGUGGGGAGCGAACAGG
rnacentral:rRNA from 1 species